AUUGAACGCUGGCGGCAGGCCUAACACAUGCAAGUCGAGCGAGCGGCGGACGGGUGAGUAAUGUCUGGGAAACUGCCCGAUGGAGGGGGAUAACUACUGGAAACGGUAGCUAAUACCGCAUACCAUCAGAUGUGCCCAGAUGGGAUUAGCUAGUAGGUGGGGUAACGGCUCACCUAGGCGACGAUCCCUAGCUGGGCUGAGAGGAUGACCAGCCACACUGGAACUGAGACACGGUCCAGACGCCUACGGGAGGCAGCAGUAGGGAAUAUUGCACAAUGGGCGAAAGCCUGAUGCAGCCGUGCCGCGUGUGUGAAGAUGGCCUUCGGGUUGUAAAGCGCUUUCAGCGGGGAGGCGUUACCCGCAGAAGAGGCACCGGCUAACUCCGUGCCAGCAGCCGCGGUAAUUC
rnacentral:rRNA from 1 species